rnacentral:rRNA from 1 species
UACGGAAGGCAGCAGUGGGGAAUAUUGCACAAUGGGCGCAAGCCUGAUGCAGCCAUGCCGCGUGUAUGAAGAAGGCCUUCGGGUUGUAAAGUACUUUCAGUCGUGAGGAAGGUGUUAAGGUUAAUAACCUUAGCAAUUGACGUUAGCGACAGAAGAAGCACCGGCUAACUCCGUGCUAGCAGCCGCGGUAAUACGGAGGGUGCGAGCGUUAAUCGGAAUUACUGGGCGUAAAGGGCACGCAGGCGGUUAAUUAAGUUGGAUGUGAAAUCCCCGGGCUUAACCUGGGAAUGGCAUUCAAGACUGGUUAGCUAGAGUCUUGUAGAGGGGGUAGAAUUCCAUGUGUAGCGGUGAAAUGCGUAGAGAUGUGGAGGAAUACCGGUGGCGAAGGCGGCCCCUGGACAAAGACUGACGCUCAUGUGCGAAAGCGUGGGGAGCGAAACAGGGAUUUAGAUACC